AUGGACUGGUUUAUGCAUAACGUGCCGUGGGAACUAUUUAUUGAUGGUACAAAGAUGGUGCAGAGUUUCCGCGAAAAUGGAACCAUGACUUACUACACAUUAGACGCUGGCGUUAGGAUGUUUAACGAGAAGGAAGUUGAUAUGAUGCAAGGAACAGGGCAGCCUGUGUGGCGCUGUUUGACACUGGCUAACUUUGCGGUUCAAUUCCUCACGACUCCAGGAGAGUAUGAUAUGGAAACUGCCGUUAGUAUGUUCCUGCCAGAGAAACUGGCAUACUCUGUCAAGAUGUGCCGCCUGAUAAUGGCACCUGUGUUGCUGGAAGAUUCAAGGGCGUGGUGCCUGUACACGUUCGAUAGGCAGCGAAAAGUACUGAUAGUACUUGACCCAGUUCAUAAUCUCCAGGAUAUAGACAUGUUGGCUAGGCUCCAUGCUCAAAAUGCAGAGCUGCUGCUCGAAGGACUCAAGCUGGUUGGCCAAACGCUGGCAGAUGGGUUCACUAUCAACAGGGCUGAAUGGGACAUUGAGUACAACCAGGGGAUGCAUGUCCCUUGCUCUAUAGAGGAGUCCGGAAUUUACAUCUUCCACUAUGCCAAGUUCUUCACUGGAGAACACCUUAUAGAAGACAUCGAUGACGAUGGCCUGGUCGUUCUGCGCAAAAGGAUGUUUUAUGACAUGAUGGCGACAAGGGGAAACGUUGGCGAGAAGCCUGGCUUUAUGCUGACCGGCUGA
rnacentral:rRNA from 1 species